GGAGGUGAUCGGAAGGGACUGGCUGGAGUGUGGCGGGCUGACAGGUCUGAGGCCUGAAGGACUUCCGGGAACCGCAAAGCACGGUGUGCCUCCGUUGUCCUGAUGAAAAAGCCGCGCGCGGACGACUGGCCGGCCCACGCUUGCAGCUCCCAGAAGUUGACAGGCAUCCUCCGGUGACCGGUGUGAGUAUGGUAUCAGGAUGAUAUGACUGCAAGCAACAGAAAAAUCAAACAAAAAUGGCCCAAGCCAAGAAGAGAAAUGAUUAUUUCACAUUCCAAGAAGUUUGGGAGUCGAGUGGUUAAACGGCUAAUUAAUCUAGAGCUCAACAAUAUCACCCAGGACCCAUUUUCACUAUGGUGGCUAAAGCCCUGCACCCUUCAGGCUUGCACCAUGGCAGCAGCAGUGACAGUAAAGACACCCUUACACCACAAUGCUCCAUGACCAGGAAAAGGGUCUCCUCUCUCCUGCCCCUUUCUGGAGGCUCCACCGAAGAUUUCUCUUCACAUUCCGUUUCUCAUUCCUGAAGCAGUCGCUGGCAACAGGGAUGGACUUACCGCAUUGGGUACAGAGCAAUGAAGAUUCACCACUAGGUGAGUCCUUUGGAAAACACUUGGCCAUCCAAUAUAUAAACAAAUCUGGUACUCCUGUCAGGAAAGAGGUAGGUAAUUCCCAACAGCCAAUAGUGUCUGCCACAAGUGAAAUAUCUCAUCAGAGAAAACUGAGUAGGUAAUACAUGAUUCUGUGUUUUCUCUGUUUUCUGCCUUUGCUUUUUCCAUUUGGUAAGACUCGCCUGUGUUCCUCUUUGUGGCUCUUUCUCCUUGAUAAUACAACCCUGGUUUAGUUCAGAUACAGGUGGCAAUAGGCCAGAAGGGUAUGAUUCCAGUCCUAGGAGACAAAUUCGUGAUGAGCCUCGCACAGUCAUGACAAUCCCAAUUCCAUUUGUCAGUGAACCAUUUAGGGAUGGCCACGUGACUCAGUUCUGGUCACCAAGGUGGUGGAAGAGAAGUUCUCUUGAGGGGCAUCUGGGAAAGAUUCUUCUGCCUGAUAAAACAGGAGGUAAGCAAGGGUUCUGCUCCCCCAUUUGUUUCUGCCUUUGAACUUGACUGUGGGAAGACAUGAUGCUUAGUGUUGCUGCAGCUAUCUCAUGACCUUGGGCAAAACAUCCCAACACACAGGAGGGCCAAACAAGCAGUCAGAAGAAGCCUGAGUCUUGUGGGUGUUGUUGAGCAGCUGAACCAACCCUAGGAUGGCUUCCUUCCAGACUCCUUAGGAUUGCAAACAAGGAAGCUCUAUUGUUUAAGCAAGGUAUCGAUGGCUAUUUUCACUUGCCACUGAAAGCACCAGGACAGAGAAUCGUCUUUCU
rnacentral:lncRNA from 1 species